rnacentral:lncRNA from 1 species
UUUAUAAAUAUAUAAAAUUGUGAUGCUCACCUCUAACCAAGACAGCAUACAUUGUUAUAUCUUACAGUUAGUUGUCCUGAGUUAUAUGAAAUUGAUGUACUGUUUGGUCAGACUGAACAGCUCAUCAUGGGAUCAAAAGCAGAUGGUUUUCUUUUAUGAGUCUGGUGGGGGUAAGACGCAGGUGAGAGGUUAAGGGGACACUCAAACAGGGACAGUAGAAUUGAGCCCAUCUACCAGGACCACAGCUCUGACAGAAUGUACUGAAGGGCAAGGAUCAUUUGUCUUAUACUUUGAACAUGCAAAAGGAGUGAAGGUGGGUGUAGGCACUUAGAGCCUUCCACCAUGAGAGUUCUCAUUGGUUCUAGUGUCUUUAGCAAUAUGACCCCUGGUUAUAACCACACGGUAAGGGGGCUGUAAUCAAGACAAAGAAGAGAUGCAUUUGUUUUCCUAAUAAAAGCCCGAUUUAGUGAACAUAAAAUAAGCCAGUGAUAGACUCUGAAAAGUGCUUCAAAACUCUGUCAUUGAGGAUUCUUUUUUACAUCAUAUAAGUGAAAAUUCGGCAUUUGGACCUGUGGUGAUCUUUGCAUGAAGUUACACAGCAUAUAAGUUUCUUUAUUUUCUCACUUGUCCAUAGUGUUUCCCAUGUAGCAAUGGUUCACACUCUGCAGAAACCAUCCUACAAGGAUCCCUCAAUAAAUGAGUGUUCAGUGACCGAGCCUUGGAGGAUAGCGUUCUCAUGUGCUCUUAGGAUGUGCGCAUCUCUCAAACGCAGAGGACGUGGCUCCUGUAGGGGAGCCUAUAAUUCUGCCUAGAAAUCAUAUCAAAACCAGUAGAACACUACCUGCUUUCCUCCUUUCAUGUGGGCUCAAGGAGUUAACUCCAUAAACUUCCCAAUGAAUCCCAGUUCCCAAGCCCAGCACAUUCUUCUCAGAUUCUUUCCUUAGACCCUGGAGCCUUCCUAAUUAGCCAAUAGAUGUAUUUCUAACUAGUGUAGCCUAGUUUGCAUGUUUUAGAAAGCAUAAAUCAGAGCAUAACUGCCUGCCAAUAACACAGUUGGAGCAGGAGGUGGAGAAGAAGCCAAUGCAAAUUUGUUGGAGGAUGUCUGUAAUAGAUAAACUGAAGGCGUGGUUAGAUGGAAGUCUGCGACAUGCCAAGGAGCCACCAUUUCUGCUGACCCACACUGGUUCCACCUCUAAGACUUAUGUAUCUGACUUGGAGUUUUUGUGCUGAUCUUCAUGGUUUGUGUGUGUGUGUGUGUGUGUGUGUGUGUGUGUGUGUGUGUGUGUGUGUGCUAGGAUCUAUGUUGCCCAUCAUUGUGUUUUGUGACUGCUUUUCAAUGUACCACUUUCUAAUUUCUAAUAGAGUUUUACUGAGAACAUCCUGUAACCAUUGCUGCGAACAUUAUCCAGAUAUGUUCACGUGAGUGCCAUCCACUUUAGAGAACAUGGCUUCCUACCUUCAGUCCUUUAAGAAUUAUAGAUAGAGUACCUUUCUUUCCCCUGAGAUGAAUGAGUUAGAAGAUCGAUGCUCUCACUGGUGUAGAAGUAACCAGUCCAAUUUAAAAACAAUAGAACUC